ACGCAGCUGCGCAGUGCGCACAGAGCGAACUAUUCUUUCGCCUUUUACUAAAGAAUACCGUGUGUGCUCUGCACAUAGCAGCAUACGCUUAUUUUUGGAGGGGAUCCUUCUUUUUGGGGGGCCCCACAAUUCAAAACUGAAUAUUUUUAAAUAUUUGAUUUAAAAUAUAUUAUUGUGGAUGCAAUUAGAAAGUAUAUUGUAUUUAAAUGUUUAUGCUAUUUGUCCUUUUUUGCAAGGUCGAUCGACUCGAUCUUUUUUUCGAUUUUAGAGGUAAGGAUGUUGUUACCUGCCUGCCUCUGCCAAAUAACGUGAGAUCUGAUCAUCAGAUUACCGUUUAACUAGGGCAUAAAAUUUUCUAUGCAACCAUCGAAUUGGAGCACCAAAACAAAUAGAUUUUACAUCGUUCGCCAGAGCCCCGCUAAAUCAGAUUAAAAAAAAAAGGAGCAUGAAAUCGUUGGGAACGAGAUGCCAUCCCAUUCUUGCCGAUGCUUUUUGAGUGUUAAGGUGGCAAGAACGAGCACCGGAGGGGAGGGGAGGGGACAGUGGAUCAUGGAAGGGGACGACGGAGGAGGAAAAGACUGAACUUCUACUUGCUCCCUGUUUGUUGCUCAGAUAAUUGCGUUAGGAGUUCCCUCUCCAACGCUUUUUUGGUGCUCCACUUCAACAUAUUUGGGUUUUAUAUAUUUCAUUAGAAACUGGUUUAUCAUGCAGAAA